CAACAGAUUUACCAUUUGCAACUGAAACUGAUCCACUUGACUGCACCGAAAUUAAGAACAACUUCAUAACUUUGCAACCCAUCAUCGUAAAGAGGGCGCACAUUUCUGCAGUGUACGCCCCUCAUUCAGUUUCAGUGGAGUUUUGCCCCGACAUAACUUGUGAACAUAAAUAAGUAUUGAUAAAAUUUGUGCCAGCUAUCGCGGUUAUACAAAUAAUACAAAUAAAAAAUUUUUGAUAAUAAUUAAAUUUUAUUUUUUAAUAUAAAUAUAAGUUUAUAAGGUGAAAUUUUUAAAUUUAUUUAUUAUUAAUAAAAUAUAUAAUUGAAGUUAUAAAAUUUUUAAAAUAAACUAGGAUUAGAUACCCUAUUAUUAAAAUUAAAUAUAGAAAAUGUCAAAGUAGUAGUAGAUAUGUUCUUAAAAUUUAAAAAAUUUGGCGGUAUUUUAGUCUAUUCAGAGGAAUCUGUUCUGUAAUUGAUAAUCCACAUUGAACCUUACUUAAAUUAAUUAAGUAUGUAUAUCGCCGUCAUCAGAAUAUAUUAAAAGAUUAAAUUUUCUAAAUAUUUUUAAAAAUAAAAUGUCAGGUCAAGGUGCAGUUUAUAUUUAAGUAGAAAUGGAUUACAAUAAAUUUAUUUAUAUGGAUAAUUUUUUGAAAAUAAGAAGUUUGAAAGUGGAUUUGAUAGUAAUAAAAAAGAGAUUAUUUUUUUGAUUUUAGCUCUAAAAUAUGUACAUAUCGCCCAUCGUUCUUAUUUUUAAAAUAAGAUAAGUUGUAACAUAGUAGAUGUACUGGAAAGUGUAUCUAGAAUGAU
rnacentral:rRNA from 1 species